rnacentral:rRNA from 1 species
UGGGGAAUUUUGCACAAUGGGGGAAACCCUGAUGCAGCGACGCCGCGUGAUUUAGAAGGCCUUCGGGUUGUAAAAAUCUUUUUUACGGGAUGAAAAUGACAGUACCGUAAGAAUAAGGUCCGGCUAAAUACGUGCCAGCAGCCGCGGUAAUACGUAUGGACCGAGCGUUGUCCGGAAUCAUUGGGCGUAAAGGGUACGUAGGCGGCCUAGUAAGUUAGAAGUGAAAUAAUAUAGCUCAACUAUAUAAAGCUUUUAAAACUGCUAGGCUUGAGAGAUGGAAGUGAAAGUGGAAUUCCUAGUGUAGCGGUGAAAGGCGCAGAUAUUAGGAAGAAUACCGGUGGCGAAGGCGACUUUCUGGUCAUCAUCUGACGCUGAGGUACGAAAGCGUGGGUAGCAAGCAGG